GGUCAAAGGCUGGUUACAGCCAAUCGGAUCCAUAGGAGGGUUAUUUAGGCCCAGUUCUCCUCUUACUCAGUGCCCUGUCGUGGUUUCAUGCCUAUGGUUAUCCGAGAGUACGUUCCUGAUCUUGAUUUUCUGGUAUUUGACUUUGGCUUUGUUUUGACUUCCCUGAAAUCUGGUAUCCUUGACUUUUUGCUCUCCCUCAUCUUUGUGUCUGAUUCGGUGUCCCUGACCUCGGCAAGUAUUUUGACUAUUCUUGAAGACAUGAAGUCCGGCCAUUCUAAGGUCCGGUUAUAUGUUAUUCUUAGUCCUAGGUGUGACACAGUACUGCAUGCUGGAUCAACUUGUAAUCAUGACAAUGACGU